rnacentral:miRNA from 1 species
UAGCACAUUACAGUACAGCUGU